UUUCUUUGCUUUUGACACCUUCCAUCCUUUUGGAAAAAAUCUCCCUUUUUUCAAGCUGUCUUGUCACUUGUCAUGAAAUGCUUAGGCUGAUCCAUGUUACAUUUCCAUCCACAGCCAUUAGCUAGUAAUUAUCUGCUUCUUGAUAUGCCUUACGUCUUGGAUUGAAUUUUGUGGAAUAGGACUUAUUCCAGUCUCCCUAGGAUAUUGUCUUCUGUAUCACUGAGGAGACCUAUCUUCAUGCCAGCACAACUGAGAUCUGGAAUCAUAUCCUAGCUCCCAUAUGCAUUGGAAUCCCCAGCUAGGAGUUGUGCUUACGGCAGAGAGCAUUAAUGACAGAAGAGUAGACACAGUGAGCCAAAAUGCUGGCAGAAGGGGUUGAUUUUUUAGAAAAUAUUUGUAAUCAACAAAUUGAGAGUAUUUUUGUUAAUUGUGUUGUAGACUUUCUCCCUCUUCUAGCAUAUUUUGAUUAAGUAGAAGUGUAAUGGUAGCCUAAGGUAAAUUGGGAAAUCAGUCCUUUGGAUGCAAUUUCUUUGCUUUUUAUUUUUUUUUCCAUUCCUGAUGAAGAACAUUGUGAUGUCACUGAAACACCUAGUGCCUGAUUAUUGAAAUUCCAUUGUAGGGCAUAACUUAGAAAGUACAUAUCAAACUCCUGAAAGAUGUAAUCUGCUUCCUCAGUCACCAGUGACCAAGUAAUGACACCUGUAUGUAGGGAGGUAAGGGGGGUCCUGUACUGAGGAAAGGGAAUGAGUUUUAUCUUCAGAAAUGUUACCGUUAGAAUGACUUAGAGGUAAUAUUUUAAGCAUGGUAUCUUGCAUCUUAUAAUUCAGGAAGUCUAAAAACACAGCACAAGCAAAUUUUAAGAAAUAACAGCUUUUGUUUCAAGAAAGCUUUUAGCCUAUAAUGAUACAAACAUGGUGCAACCCAUUGCUGUGAAUGUGGAUGGAUACCCUGUGGCUAGGGAGCUGCUGCUCUUCCAUCACCUUCCUCACUCCCUGUUUGUGAGCCCAUCUGUUGGGAAAGACAUCUCUCAGCAUGUUGUCCAACAGUGUUGUGCAAACUGGAGGGCAGGAGGGAGGCAGAGAGGGAAGAGUGAGGAUACACCAGCAUAUGUGGACCAAGAGGUAAGUAUGGAGCUUCUGAGAAUGUAGAUGAAGAUAGACUGGGAUGACACUGAGGUAGCACAGAGCCUGGAGUGCCAUGGAGAAUUGGAGCUGAGAGUUCAGGAUGUACCAGGCAGGCUGCACCUCCCAGGGAAAGGCCCUGUGCUUUCAUAACUUCAUCUCUGGUUUGCUCAUUGAGUGGUGGUAGGGGACACCUGAGGAAUGGGAUGUGGUGUGAAAUUUAUGGAAGGCUGUUAGACUGAGAACCUGAGAUCUAAGGAAAAAAAAACACCUUUUAGAGAAGAGGGAAGAGGAGUGGCUCUCCUUAGCUGUGUUUUGGGCCACUGAUGAUCCCACUGCUGAGUCAGAACCACAGGAUUACCUGCUGCAUGUUUUUGAUAGGUUCAGUCAUUCUGGUUUCUGUUUCUGUCAUCUUGCAUCAAGUGACUACAUGAAAUCCCUCUUCCCAGUCAUGUUGGAUGCCAAUUCCUGCUACCUCAAGCACAAUCAGAAUCAUGAGUUUAGUCAGUUACCAUGCUAAGAUGUUACCAAUUUUUCUUUCUCUUGCUUGUAAACUAGACAAAAAGAGAUCUGGGAGUCCUUUGUGAUGAUGUAAGAUCAAUUACCUUCAGUAUCAUUAGUUAAUCUUCCUGUGCUUGGAUCAGGUAUAAUCAGAGUUCUUAGUUAUACUUCUAAUUGGGAUCAUGUUCCUCUUCUUAAUCCAUUUGAUUUUUAUAUAAAAGUGUAUCUAAGAUGAAAAAGCUUUUUAAACUACACAUUUGUGAACAGCAUUUGUAUCCUUCAAAUCACCAUUUACGCCCAACAUCCAGUCUCAGGAUGUAAAUUGAAUUUUCAGUGUUUAUGGUUCUGGAGUCCACAUAGUAAUGUAGUCUUUCAGAUUCUUUUCUCCUGGGAAGACAAAGCUAUCAAAUUCCUGAUAGAGCAUUAGAAGUUCUGGAAACCAUAAAUGCACGUUUGUAAAAUCCUGAAAGAUAAUUAAUUUUUCUAGCAGGUAUUACUGGUUCAAAUUCUAAUGAUGCAAGCUGUGUAGCAAUGAGAGUCAAAAUUGAAAGUGGUAAUGUGCAGAUGUUUAAAACUAUAGAUUGGAUGUCCAGACUGAAGGAAGUAAAAACAUAAGCAUAUAACAAAAAAAUUUUAAAAAAUGGAUUUUUAAAAUUUAUUAUUAGUCACUGGCUGUCAUACUCCACUGGAAGGGUGUUUCUUGAACUGAAGGGGAUGUUGAAGGCAACUACUUAAACAUGCAAUUUUGGGGAAAUUUUCACAAAACAGUAUUAAUUAUAUCAAGGAGUGAAAGUUUCAUUUGCAUUAUUGAGUCACGUGAUUUGAGAUUUCAACCUAUAAAUAAAGAGUAUUUCACUCCUAAGGCAAGAAAAAUAGGUAUCUUGCAUAUAUGAGAUGAGUUGUCACACCAUUAAUAUUGCUGAAUACCCCUUUUUACUUGGUAAGAGAUUUCAAUUAUAAGAAUAUUUGAAAACACCUUUUUAGGAUAAAAGAUCACAUUGGAAGUGUCACUUCUAGGUUCUUUGCUGAGUAUUCUCAUGAUUGAAGUAGAAAAUUUCCCUUUUUAGUCUGUUCUCAGUGAUGUGAUAGGGUGCAAUUACCUUACCACAGUAUAAUGUCUUCAGCUGAGCUGUCACCCAACUUGCUGAGUGAAAAAUAUUGACCUGAAUCAUCUCCACUGAAAGUUACCUUCUGGUUGGGAUGGAAAAUUAUGGCUAGUGCUCAUUAUUGGUUGCAACGAGUCAAGGAGCAGGUCAGAACUCAUUAAGUCCAUCACACUGCUGAAUCUAGUACCCCUAAGUUAUCACACAGACUUAAACAGACAUGAACAGCAGCUUUUGAAAGAGCUCUAAAAUGUGUGGAUCUUCCAGUUAAUCUGUGAGCUUUAAUGAGGUGCUGGAUUCAGCUGGUUUUAGAUUUCUUGUGAAGAUCUUGACUUGCACUGCAAGCACACUUUUAUGCUAGGGUGAUAACCUUAGUGAUAAUUACUGUCUAAAAGCAGAGGACAAGGUCUGGUAUGCUGGUGAAUUGGGAACUAGACCUUUUUCUGUCACUCAUUUGCUUUGCUGACUUGGCCAAAACUGCUUGAACAUCUCUGCUUCAUUUUCCUUACUCAGAAUAUAAGACAUAUAUUUCCUGAAAAGUGUGGUUCCAUGCUUACUUACAAUACAUUUUUUGUAAAGCACUUGGAAGAUGAAAAUCUGUUCAAGAAAAUCUGUGUGGCCUUGACUCUCUUGUUCUUCGUUAUUACGCUGUCAGACACUUAAUGAGAGAACUCUUGACUCAGCAGAAAUUGUGCCCUCACUUCUUAAACUGCAAGACUUCUGUACUUGCUGAAUGACACCAGCAUAACAGUGCAAUAAAUUAUAUUGACUGUUUCUUAGCUGGCAGGGGAGGAGGGAAUGGACUCCAACAUACACCCACAGUUUAAUGUCUAAACCUGAAUUAUGGUAGAGCAUCCACAUGUGCAACUGUGCUCAGUUUGGGGUCCUGUUGGUAACUUUCAGAGUAGAAGCAUAAUUGCUUCUGUAUCACUUUGUUCCAUGAAUGUGAGGCUCGUGUGAAAACUGUAUUACCUGUGGCAAUGCAGACAGGCCUUCAUUAAUAACACAAUAAUGCUCUGGGUUUUCUGGUCUUGAGGAGAGAAGGAGCAGCAUGAGUACACGACCAAAUUACUUCAGGAGUGAAGAUGCUUACUUAGGUGUGGCAAAAGAUUUGCAGAAACUCACUAUUUCAGAGAGUAUCCAAAAUGUUGGACAAAGGAGAGAGCUUGCAACUGUCACACCAGCUGGAGAGCAGAAUCUGGGGCUGCUCUUCUGUCUUGUUGUGGUUGUUCAGAGCUGUAUGCCAGGAUGGGCAUGUCACAGCAGGGGACACCGGGCACAUCACAGCACUGUUCUGGAAGGAGCCAUGAAAGUGCAGUCUGACAACGAGCUUGCAGAGAUGGGGGUCAAAAAAUUCAGAUGCUGUGGAGAGCUGUUGGCUCCUUGAAACUCAACUUCUCCGACCUAAGAUGAAUCCAGAAACAGUAUCACCCUGGGAGAAAGAAUGGAACUCAGAGGCUUCAUAUGGGGAAUUUGGAGAGGCAUCUUCUUCACACCUGUGGAAAACUUUGCAGGACAGGAUGAAAGGAUAACAUGUUCUCCAAAAUUUUCAAGUGCACUAAACCAAGAUUUCUGUAAAAUGAACCAGGGUCGGGGGGGUGGAAUGUGUGCUUGAAGAAACACAGAAGAUUUGGAGAGGGACACAGGAAUGUGGAUGAAGUCCUUUAGGAUCUCUAGAGAGAGCAAAUGUAGAUUCAGCAAAGCUUUAUGAGACAAAACAUCCAUGAUGCUCCUAUAGCUCAGUUGUGUUCACUGUCCUCUUGGGGCUUUCCCUUUACUUGUACCUGCUGGCCAACUGGCUGGUGUAGAACACAAUUUCUGCCACAAUUUCUGCACAGCCCCAGAGGAAAAUCACAGUAGUGAUGAGUGUUUGUAUUCUGAUCUCAGAACUGAGUAGAAACUAGAAGAAAUUUCACACAAUUUUCUUGCCUGAUCAUCUUUAGGAACAAGACACAGAAAAUCAUAACAUAUCUCUAUUUGUCUGCUGGUUUGCAUACCUCUAGAGGAUUCUCUCACUUCUACGUCUUAUUUUUGGACUACUCUUGGCCAAUUUCAGGGAAAAAUGUAUAGAUUAAUAGUAAUCUCAAAGCCUAUGAAGUUACAAUGCUUGGGAAGAGAGGUGACCUAGCAGGUAACAGAAUCCAAAUAGGAAAGAGGCCUUUAAGAGAUCCAAACCAGGAAGAUGGUUGUAUCUGAAGUUUAUACCUGUUUUAUAUGUGAAAGUCAAGUGAACACAAGACAUGAAGUUAUAGGAGGAAACUAUGAUUUGUUCUUUCUUCUUAAGUGACUGUACAUGAGAACUGUUUUUCACCACUACUCAAUAAAGUUGUUAUAUAUGA